AUGAAAUGGGGAGAGGAAGAACGGUCCCAAAAAAAGAGGUGACAAUGCGCAUCCGUGAAAUCGUAAAACUGGAUAUAAAAUUUUACAACUGAUCGUCGAAAUUAUCAUGGAAGAAACGGAGGUUCGAGAGAGGGGAAAAAAAAAUAGGGAAGACGACGAAAGGAAUCUUGAUGGAAUAAUAAAUGUAUUUCGUACUAAUAGAACAUAUUAUUACACGAGUCAGUGGUACACAACUUCCUCCGGUAUACACGCCGCUAUAUAAUUUUUACACGCAUUCCACGUCGAUAUACUUUCCCGUUUCCUUUUUCUCUCCAAAGAUGUACGUACUUCUUUCCAACUUCUUGUACAUGUAACUUCGUUCAAGUUCACACGUGUAUGUGUGUGUGUACGUGUAUUUGUAAUGUCUUUUCUUUUUUCUUUUUUUCUUUUUUUUUUGCCAACCUUUCAUUCUCAUUCCGCAUCACAUCGCCUGGCAUCGUUUCAUCUUACUGCUAUUACGCGCACAACAAUUUUCCGACGGAUUAAAUUCCGAUUCGAAGUUCUAUACGCCUCGAUCGACGCUGGAAUUAAAUAAUAAAGGAAACGCGCUUCUUGGCGACCUCGCGUGUCAUGUCACGAAGCGUGUGGAAAGGUAUCUUUCCUUUCUUUUUUUUCUUUCCCCUUUUUUUUCAAAAAUAAUGAGACGUGGAAAUGGAAAUAAAAUAACUGUACGUACAAAUUGACGAUCGGUGUAAGCGUGUACGUGAUCGAAGUGAAGAAGGAAGAACGAAUGCCUCGCGUUUCUGAUCUCGUACUACAGCCCGUAACACUUUUCCACUCGGACCACCCCGCAUUUCGAAUAAACACAAACUCGAUUAACAUAACACGUUUCGAAUUUGAAAAUUUGAAUCUCGUCAUUUCCCCUUUCGAGUAUAUAAAGGAAGAAUCGAGUUACACACGGAUCUAACGUGACACUGCACAGUUUGUACAGUCUUGUCCAAUUUGCAUAAUCGUGUAUCGAAUUUCUCGCACGCCUGAUAUAUUAUUCAUUCUUCGAACGACGAAGGGAGGAGGAAAGAUAAAAUAAGUUGGAGCAGAUGGUGAAAAGUCGGCGGUGGAAUCCUACCGGGGCAGGUUACGCACUUUCCACACUUUUGGCGCGGGCAUUAAUUAGCAUCGUGCGUACGAGGAGGCCGCUCGUGUCAGUUAAAACCGUGGUCAGUUGGCCGCGCGGCAUUGACAGAGUAAAAUCGCCCGGAUAAAAUCGCACCCUCGCGAGGAGCGAGCAGGAAUUGGAAGAGGAACGAGGAUCGAGGCCAACUAGUUCUCAAGGAUAUAUAAUAUCUUCUUGCAAGCGAGCAGCUGAACGUAAACCUGUAUGAAUGUCGGUAAAAAGUGAGGAAACGAACGGAGAAAGGAAGGAGACAGCGAACGGAGAAGUCUUGCGAACGAAAUCAGAAAAGGAGGAAUAACGAUCGAAUAUCUUCGAUAUUAAUCCCCCAACAAGUAUCAUUUUUACCAAUUCUUCCUACUCUUCUUCCUAUUGAUCAACAACCAUCAACUUUUCGUUUCAAAACUCUUCUCCUCCCAAAAAAUACCGAUCUACGAUUAUUAUUAAGAAUCUCGUUCCAAGAUCGAUCGUUCUCCCCCUCCUUCCUUUCCAAGAAAUUUCGUCGACGAAGAAACAAGAAAAGCUUUGGAUCGGAGGAAAUGCGAUGAAGUAGCAGAUGAAAUAAGGCAACGAGUGGCAAAAGAGGAGGACGGAGAAGUCUUACGAACGAAAUCAGAAAAGGAAAAAUGAUCGAAUAUCUUCGAUAUUAAUCCCCCUUUUCGUUUCGAAACUCUUCUCCUCCCAAAAAAUACCGAUCUACGAUUAUUAUUAAGAAUCUCGUUCCAAGAUCGAUCGUUCUCCCCCUUCUUCCUUUCCAAGAAAUUUCGUCGAAGAAGAAACAAGAAAGAAAGAGAGGCUCUGGAUCGGAGGAAAUGCGAUGAAGUAGCAGAUGAAAUAAGGCAACGAGUGGCAAAAGUGGAGAACGGAGAAGUCUUACGAACGAAAUCAGAAAAGGAGGAAUAACGAUCGAAUAUCUUCGAUAUUAAUCCCCCAACAAGUAUCAUUUUUACCAAUUCUUCCUAUUCUUCUUUCUAUUGAUCAACAACCAUCAACAGUUUCGAAACUCUCCAAAAAAUCUCCUCCUCCCAAAAAAUACCGAUCUACGAUUAUUAUUAAGAAUUAUUAAGAAAUUUCGUCGAAGAAGAAAAGAAGAGAGGCUCUGGAUCGGAGGAAAUGCGAUGAAGUAGCGGAUGAAAUAAGGCAACGAGUGGCAAAAGUGGAGAAC